rnacentral:rRNA from 1 species
UACAGAGGUCCCAAGCGUUGUUCGGAUUCAUUGGGCGUAAAGGGCGCGUAGGCGGUCAGCACAAGUCAGUUGUGAAAUCUCCGGGCUUAACUCGGAAAGGUCAACUGAUACUGUGCGACUAGAGUGCAGAAGGGGCAACUGGAAUUCUCGGUGUAGCGGUGAAAUGCGUAGAUAUCGAGAGGAACACCUGCGGCGAAGGCGGGUUGCUGGGCCGACACUGACGCUGAGGCGCGAAAGCUAGGGGAGCGAACGGG